AUUAGUCAUAAUAUACCGGAGAAUUCACACUGUGUUAAAUGGCAACAUUUUUUAUUAUACCUUUUCUUGUUUCCUUUGGAAUAUAUUGUUUAGAUUUAAAUCCUAUUGAGCCAGAUUGUUUUCACCCGCCAAGAACAGGAAAACGUUGUUGUGCCGGCUAUAGAACGAUCGGAGGAAAAUGUCAUGUUUGUAUUGGUUCCAUUGGAUUUGAAUGUGUGAAACCGUGUCCUGUUGGAUAUUAUGGAAAACAAUGCUCAGAUAAAUGUCGUCAGUGUGACAUUUGCAACGCCACAACCGGAGAAUGCUCAAACGAGACAACUACAACAGGUUGUAUCUGAAUCAAAAGUUGAUCUAAAAUUCUUUAAAACUAUUUGCACACUUCUGCUUUGAAGUCAGGUAAUUCCCAUUAUUUCCAAAAUUACCGAUGAAUUAUGGCUAUGACUAUUCAAGUUUUUUAUAGAAUAUAGAAUUAUAAAUGAAAAUUCAAUUUUAAAUAACUAAUAUAUGUACUGGGUGUUUGUUAAAUAGGCAUGCGUUAGUUCUUUCAACACUGUUUAAAUGCUUUUAACGUUUUGUUGUUUUUUUUGGUCAAAAUUAAUUAUAGUAAACAGAGAUAUAUUACCGAUUGAAAAAAGCCGGUCUGUCAUUUGGGUAUCAGUUUUACUUGGAGUAUUUGCAAGCGUGGGAUCUGUAGCUGCUGUUCUGUUUUCAAUUUAUGUGAAAGAAAGGUAUUUAAGUAUUUUCCGUCUUAAGAAAUGCUAUUAAAAUAUUAAUACAAUAAUGUACAAAGAUAUAAUGAUUUUUUUUAAAUUUUUAAAUUACAAUGGAGUCUGUGAAAAGUCGCCCAUAAAUAUAAUGAAACAGCCACCAUGAUGUCUUUCUUAUAACAGGACCUUUUUUAAGUAACGUUUUUUCAUAUCUGCUUUAACAAAGAAAGCUACGCAUUCAUCUUUAUUUUCUAGAAAGAAAAAUACGGGAAAUGAUGUUCGGCAGCUUGACCAAAUAAGUGAUGGGAAUGUUGAUGUAGAAGAUUACGAUGCCAUAAGAUAUUCCUGCAUGAUGCUUGAGGAUGAUAGUGCUUGUAACAAACAAAAGAAUGCUUUGGAUAGGAUUAGCUAUGCAAAGACCCAGACAAUUCCCAACAUGUACAACAAGCUAAGCUUCAAUAAAAGUGAACGCCCUUCUAUGGAUUGUGGACCUCAGGAAUUGUACAACAUAGCUGACCAUUCUGAAAAACAUAUGCAGUGUCAAACGAAUUACGGGGAAUAUGUUACUGUUGCAACAGAUAAAGCUACAUCCUGUACGAUCAGCAUGAAAAAUAACACAAAAGAAAAUGAACAUUGUCAAACUGUGGACAACACUUAUGAUGAUGUUCUCAAUGAGCCCACGAAGAACACCGCUGAAUCGCGAAAAACAAAUUAUGUAGAAUUGCCUCACAGGGGGAAAAAUCGACGGAAGAAACCAGAAUUAAAACCAAAACCGGAGAGCAUCAAGGCCCUGCCAGUAAAUCUGGAUUCGACCAUUGGAAAUAGGCCUUAUAGUCUUGCAAAUCAUUGAUCAAGCUAAAAAUACAAGGCUUAAAUUUCAACUCCAAAAAAUAUUGUUUCAUUUGUCCAUGUUUUGUUGGUGUUUUAAAUCCUUUUAUUUCUAUCAUCAAAAUGGAUGAACAUUGCUUUCAAAAUACCAAGUAUGAUUUCAUUUCAAUUAAAUCAUUGUAGUUUAUAUUC
rnacentral:misc_RNA from 1 species